UACGUAGGGCGCGAGCGUUGUCCGGAUUUAUUGGGCGUAAAGAGCUCGUAGGCGGCUUGUCGCGUCGUCCGUGAAAACCUGCAGCUCAACUGCAGGCUUGCGGUCGAUACGGGCAGGCUAGAGUUCGGUAGGGGAGACUGGAAUUCCUGGUGUAGCGGUGAAAUGCGCAGAUAUCAGGAGGAACACCGGUGGCGAAAGCGGCUCACUGGACCGUCUCUGACGCUGAGGUGCGAAAGCUAGGGUAGCAAACGGG
rnacentral:rRNA from 1 species